AACGAAAUUGCUGGGUCAUAUGGGAACCUGGGUUUAAUUUUUUGAGGAACUGCUCUAUUGUUUUCCACAGCGGCUAAGCCAUUUUACAUUCCCACCAGCAAU
rnacentral:pre_miRNA from 1 species